rnacentral:lncRNA from 1 species
ACAGAAUAGAGGAGAGGGCAUUGUCUGGGGAGAAAUAUUUUUCACUCGUCUAGCUUCAGAAAAAUCAUCAGGAAGGCAUUUGUGGUCGGAUUGUGCUGAAACUUUAACUGGAGGUUUCCAAGAUACAGGCCUUCAAUUUUUAGGUGAUUUCAAUCCUUUUUAUUUCAUCCUCAUUGUAUCGUUCUUGAAGUUUUAUACUUCUUGGGCUGUUGUAUCAUCAUAUUUGAUGUUUGUAGACUCUCUUGUACUCAUUCCUUGUUGAUUAUUGAAGAGUUUUGGUGGACAGAGGUCCCGUGGUUUUUCCACACUUCGAUUUGGAGAGGCUUUCCUGCAUGUAAAAAUUGUAGUGUUGUGUCCUUGCUUGUCUUCAUUCAUUUUACAGCUUACUUUAGUUGCUAUUAAUUUUCUGCUUAUGUUUUGAUUCCAUUCACUUUAUGUGCUAUUAAAUUCGGGGUCCUGCAAUUUUCUUGCAAGCUUGGAAGAAUAUUUGUCAAGUAUAUUUGAACUGAUUUGAGUUUGUGGUUAAAUUACUUUGACAAGCAGUGUUUUUCUUCCCUACAUUAUCAAGGUCUCAUGCAAUACUAACUGUUCCAAGUCGACUUGUGUUAGAGAUUAAAUAGAGCUUUGUUGGAUAAAGAGCAUGAAAAGUCUGCCAUUACCUUGAACGUCAGUCAUGAUAUUUUUACCUUUGUCUAAAGAAGGCCUUUUCUUUGCUUCUUGAAGAGUAUGAGUUGUGAUACUUACUCCUGAUCAUGCCUUUUCAUUCACCCUUGUGAGCUCUUGCUUCUGUGAACGGGUUCUUUGAAGUACACCUUCAUCAUCACUGUCAUCCAAGAUGAUGACCUCAACAUGAGCUUUAUCUAUUGGGCCUAUCUCAUCUAUUCCCUCCUAUGUGAUUAUAGCCCAACUAAUGGGAGACCCAUUAAAUCACUUACUCUUCACUUAGUCAACGGGUGGUAUGAGAAGAAAUAAAAAUAUAAAAUAGACCAGAAGUAGGAGAUGAAGAAGCGGGAGAUGAAGACUGAUAAGAAAAAGACAUACUUUAAAAGAAGACAUAUGGAUGUGUGUAUAGGUUGUAUUGCAUGAUACAUGUAUCUGGACAUUGUGUUGUCCACGUUCAUCUGUGGUAGCUGGCCAGCUGUACUUCGCACAAAAGAAACAAUACCUCAUUUAUUAUUAUAUUGUACUUAUAAGUUUUAACACAUAUCUCGA